CCUGGGGGCGCGUUUUGCUUAUGUGGACACAAUGCGCGCUUAUGAGGAUGCGCUUUUUUACCACGUAGGCAAAGCGCGCCCCCAGGG
rfam:Gossypium hirsutum cultivar TM-1 chromosome 21, whole genome shotgun sequence